AGCCCCGGUAAACGGCGGCCGUAACUAUAACGGUCCUAAGGUAGCGAAAUUCCUUGUCGGGUAAGUUCCGACCUGCACGAAUGGCGUAACGAUGGCGGCGCUGUCUCCACCCGAGACUCAGUGAAAUUGAAAUCGCUGUGAAGAUGCAGUGUAUCCGCGGCUAGACGGAAAGACCCCGUGAACCUUUACUAUAGCUUUGCACUGGACUUUGAAUUUGCUUGUGUAGGAUAGGUGGGAGGCUUUGAAGCGUGGACGCCAGUUCGCGUGGAGCCAUCCUUGAAAUACCACCCUGGCAACUUUGAGGUUCUAACUCAGGUCCGUUAUCCGGAUCGAGGACAGUGUAUGGUGGGUAGUUUGACUGGGGCGGUCUCCUCCUAAAGAGUAACGGAGGAGUACGAAGGUGCGCUCAGACCGGUCGGAAAUCGGUCGUAGAGUAUAAAGGCAAAAGCGCGCUUGACUGCGAGACAGACACGUCGAGCAGGUACGAAAGUAGGUCUUAGUGAUCCGGUGGUUCUGUAUGGAAGGGCCAUCGCUCAACGGAUAAAAGGUACUCCGGGGAUAACAGGCUGAUACCGCCCAAGAGUUCAUAUCGACGGCGGUGUUUGGCACCUCGAUGUCGGCUCAUCACAUCCUGGGGCUGAAGCCGGUCCCAAGGGUAUGGCUGUUCGCCAUUUAAAGUGGUACGCGAGCUGGGUUUAGAACGUCGUGAGACAGUUCGGUCCCUAUCUGCCGUGGACGUUUGAGAUUUGAGAGGGGCUGCUCCUAGUACGAGAGGACCGGAGUGGACGAACCUCUGGUGUUCCGGUUGUCACGCCAGUGGCAUUGCCGGGUAGCUAUGUUCGGGAAAGAUAACCGCUGAAAGCAUCUAAGCGGGAAACUUGCCUCAAGAUGAGAUCUCACUGGAACCUUGAGUUCCCUAAAGGGCCGUCGAAGACUACGACGUUGAUAGGUUGGGUGUGUAAGCGCUGUGAGGCGUUGAGCUAACCAAUACUAAUUGCCCGUGAGGCUUGACCAU
rnacentral:rRNA from 1 species